UGCCCCUGGAUCCCUGGCAGUGCCCAAGGCCAGGCUGGACAGGGCUUGGAGCAGCCUGGGACAGUGGGAGGUGUCCCCAUGUCAGGGAUGGGAUGAGAUGGGCUUGAAGCUCCCUUACAGUGCAACCCAUUCCGUGAUUCUGUGCAGGAGAAGCACAAAUUGUUGGCCAAAGCAGUGAGGAAUCCUUGGCUGUCCCAGGAAAAGUGUGUGGAUGGGACUGAUAGGAUGCUGGGGGUGGCUGGGCAUGGAGCAGAGAUGGGGAGGGAGGGAGGGAGAAGUGCAGAAUUUGGCCAGAGCCCAGCUGGGAUGGGCAGCAGGCACGAGGCUGGGCAGAGCCAGGAGCAAAGGUGCCCAGGGCACAGCCCCUGCCAGGCUGCAGCACAGGGGGAAUGCAGAGCUGCUCUGCUGGAAUAGAUAAGGCUUUGUUUGAGAGAUGGAAAAAAAAUAAAUAAAAGCCUGGAAAAACUGGCUUUGCCAUUUCUGGAGAACUUUAACAUUCUCUGGUC